rnacentral:rRNA from 1 species
GGGGGGCAAGCGUUGUUCGGAAUUACUGGGCGUAAAGGGCUCGUAGGCGGCCAACUAAGGCAGACGUGAAAUCCCUCGGCUUAACCGGGGAACUGCGUCUGAUACUGGAUGGCUAGAGGUUGGGAGAGGGAUGCGGAAUUCCAGGUGUAGCGGUGAAAUGCGUAGAUAUCUGGAGGAACACCGGUGGCGAAGGCGGCAUCCUGGACCAAUAUUGACGCUGAGGAGCGAAAGCUAGGUGAGCAAACGGG